rnacentral:lncRNA from 1 species
AAAUUUCAAAAAGCUUUUCAACUACAUAGAAAUCUUGACAACAUUGAAAAUAUACUCAUCUUCGACACUUAUAAUCAAGUCCAAGUGACAUAAAUCAUAAUUGAAGCCGCAAAAAGCUGAAUGAAAGAACCCUCCCCCCAUAUACAUGAACAAAUUUAGAAAAAUCUAGCCAUGCCUGUGCUAGAUGCAUACCUGUAUUCAACAUUCACAUUUGAAUCUAAGUAACAAAGCCAUGUGAUGCAGGAACCUAUGCUGUUGUUGAGAUGCCUGAUGAAGACGGUGAGACGCUAUC